rnacentral:tRNA from 1 species
GGAGGCAUAGUCUCAGUUGGUUAGAGCGCUCGCUUCACAUGCGAGAGGUCAGGGGUUCAAGUCCCUUUGUCUCCACCA